ACGGAUCACUGCUUCCUAUAAGAGUUGGUUUUCUCUGUGUGUGUAGCCACUCUGUGCCUGGUGGACUUGGCUGGCAGUGAGCGAAUGGUGAAGAGCCAGUCUCAGGGUGACCGUUUCAAAGAGAUGACCGCCAUCAACAGCUCACUGUCCAACCUGGGCGUCGUUAUCGCCGCUCUGGCCAAAAAGGAGACUUACGUAGCUUACAGGAACUCGAAGCUCACGUACCUCCUUCAGGGAUGUUUGGGGGGAAACGGCAAAACCUUGAUGUUUGUUAACAUUGCUCCGGAGCCCGACAGCUUUGGGGAAACUCUGAACUCAUUGAGGUUUGCCAGCAAGGUCAGUGCAGUCUUGUUUCCAGUGUUCAUUGGACAGAGUACAUUAAUGAUGUCCUUACAUCAGCUGUUUAUGGUGAACGACUGCGUCAUCAGGACAGCGACUGCCAACAAAAAGUAGAAAUUAUUAAAAAAAAACCCUGAGUUUUCUACUUUUUAGGUUCAUCUCAGGUUUCCACGCUGAGUUGGUCAUGACAGUUGCCAUGUGUGAUGGCAUGCCACACAUGGGCUGGGAGACCUGAAGUACUACUGACAGCCUAAUUGGAUUGCACCACAUGCAGGUGAACGACUGCGUCAUCAGGACAACAAAGUAGAAAUUAUUAAAAGAGUAACUUUUAUAUAUGUGCGUUUAAAGCAGGGUGUCAGGUUUUUUUGUUUUUUUUCCACAUAUGUUGGAUUAUGUUUCUAUAUAUAUACUUUGUAAAGGGUAUUUUAAAUGAAUGAAAAUGAAUA